UUUGUUCAACGGCCGCGGAAUCCUAACCGUGCGAAGGUAGCGUAAUCACUUGUUCUUUAAAUGAGGACUUGUAUGAAUGGCAUCACGAGGGUUAUACUGUCUCCUUUUUCUAAUCAGUGAAACUAAUCUUCCCGUGAAGAAGCGGGGAUAUUAAUAUAAGACGAGAAGACCCUAUGGAGCUUUAAACUCAAUAACAAAUACUAACCCCACUUCAACUUCCAGAGCAAACCCUUAUUUUAGUAUUAUGAUUAUUAGUUUUAGGUUGGGGUGACCGCGGAGUAAAAACUAACCUCCACAUUGAACGGGACCGAUCCCUGAGCCGAGAGCCACGACUCUAAGCACCAAUAAAUUGACAUUAAUUGACCCAAUAUUUUGAUCAACGAACCAAGUUACCCUAGGGAUAACAGCGCAUCCACUUCAAGAGCUCCUAUCGACAAGUGGGUUUACGACCUCGAUGUUGGAUCAGGGUAUCCCAGUGGUGCAGCCGCUACUAAAGGUUCGUUUGUUCAACGAUUAAAACCCU
rnacentral:rRNA from 1 species